rnacentral:rRNA from 1 species
GACGAACCGUGCGAACGUUGUUCGGAAUCACUGGGCUUAAAGGGCGCGUAGGCGGGCUAUCAAGUCCGGGGUGAAAUCCUCCAGCUCAACUGGAGAACGGCCUCGGAUACUGAUGGUCUCGAGGAGGAUAGGGGCACACGGAACUGUGGGUGGAGCGGUGAAAUGCGUUGAUAUCCAUAGGAACUCCGGUGGCGAAAGCGGUGUGCUGGAUCCUUUCUGACGCUGAUGCGCGAAAGCCAGGGGGAGCAAACGGG